CGGGCUGGUCGAAAGACCCUGGUCCACCGAGAAGCGGGGGAAUCCCCC
rnacentral:ncRNA from 1 species